rnacentral:lncRNA from 1 species
AAAGCAGGAAUGGGUCCCUGGUAUCUUUCUGCGCUUGCGCCACAAGGAAAUGUCACUUCCGACUCUGCGCGUACCUGGCCGGAACCUGCCGGCGCCUGGGAAGUGAGUGAAACCCAGUUUUUGUUUGGAGCGUGAAGUAGUACCCUUCUCUCUGUGUGUCUUGAGGACACGCGCCUCUCUGCGCGAACCCCAACAAUGCGUUCUGUAGCCCAGGCGCUCCUCAGCUUCAAGGGCCAGUGCUGUUCUCGUUCCACCACACCCCUUAGGUCACGCCCCCUCCUCCGCCAGUCUGACUUUGUGCAGCUCCCAGACCCCUCGCACACUCACACCUGUACUUCCCCUAAUCAUCCUCGAGGACUGAUCUUCCCUUAGAGCACUUGCGCGGGGAUGGGGAAGGUGCUUUGGAUGAAGAAGAAGCCUCUCCACCCCACUGAGCGCCUCCUUCUCUGGCCGCCCUUUGCAGACUGUAACCAUGAAGUUCAACCCCUUCUUGACCUCUGACUGCAGCAAAAUCCGCAAGUGCAUUUCAGUGCCCCCUCGCACGUGCGCCGGAAGAUCAUGUCUUCUCUUUCCAAGGAACUGCGGGAGAAAUACAACGUCCGCUCCAUGCCCAAACCCGGGGAUGAUGAGGUCCACGUACAUCCCCCAUCUUCCUCGGGUUCUAGUUACCCAGUUGUGUGGCGUGUGGCCACUUCCUUUGCAUGAAAACAUCCUAUGUGCUUGGACCUGGAGGAGUCAGGGAACGUCAGGUCCUGAAGACUCUAGCAAGACCUUUAACUCUGUUAAUGUGCUAUACCAGAGGUGGAGCCCAGAGCCACUAAAGAGUGCCCGCAGGUCUUUAGUAAUAGUAAAUAAAAUAAACCAGUGGUUCGAGGACACUACAAAGGUCAGCAAAUUGCCAAGGUCUUUCAGGUGUACAGAAAGAAAUAUGUCAUCUACAUCGAGCAAGUGCAGCAUGAGAAGGCUAAUGGCCCAACCAUCCAUGUGGGCAUUCACUCAAGCAAGGUAAUUAUCACCAGGCUAAAACUGGACAAAGACAGAAAAAAAAUUCUUGAACGCAAAGCCAAGUCUCGACAAGUUGAAAAAGAGAAAGGCAAAUACAAGAGCUCAUUGGGAAAAUGCAGGAGUGAAUAUAACCUGUCCUGCAAUCAUGAUUUAACUGCAGAUGUCUAGCCUAGCCUGUUCUUUGCUGGGACUUUUCAAAAUGUCUCUGCAAUGUUUCAUCGCCUUUCUGUUUUGUUACUGAUAUAUGGCUCUGUAAAUCUACUUUUGUGAUUGAUUAAUAAUUUUAUGAAUAAAAUUGGAGCUAUUUCCCAACUCCAAAUGGUAUUUACAUCACUUUAUAAAUGAAAUCCAUCUUAUCAGUUCUGUCCUGCAAGUCUUGCAUAUAUUUGAUCUGUGGACCAGCAAAAGAACAUUGGUAGGGUUAAGCCAGCCUGCCCCUGCCUGAACCGUCAUACCAAUGGAGGAGAAAGGCAUGGCUCUGGUCCCUAAAGCAGAAGUUUGCCUCACUCAGCAGUCGUGACAUGAAUUGGCAUGCUCAAAACACCACGGAGUUCCUAGUCAUGAUGUGAACUGACACACUGAGGCCUCAUGAAAUUCCUGGUGCUCCUUUGUCCUCCCGUCUCCUAGGUAACAAAUUCUGGAGCUAACUCACAAAACUAGCAUCCUCUAGAUGAGAUUUGACUUAGAUGGUUUGUUUUUAUAUUUUUUACAGCUUUUACUAAUUUCCAACAUUUAAGAUGUGUGACACUCCACGGAGAAUCACCUGGCUGCACAGGGCCUGGUUCCCGCAUUGCAUUCAGGUAGUGGAGCUCAGGGGUUGGCUUCUUGCCUGGCCUCCACUGGCAUCUGUUUUAGACUCCAACUGAACUUCAUUCUUGAUUUAGCUCCAGGAUCACAUCUAAAAUCUUCCCUGCCCCUGUGAAAAAUGAUUGAUUAAAAUGCACCCAACAGCAUUUUUUCUUAUGUUUUCAGUACUGUGGAUUGAACCCAAGGCCUCACACAUGCUAGGCAAGUGCUCUACCACUGAACUACAUCUCCAGCCCCUUCAGCUCAGUUAACGGUUCCCUGGGUUUAUACUGACAGAUGCC